UACAGAGGGUGCAAGCGUUGUUCGGAAUUACUGGGCGUAAAGCGCGUGUAGGCGGUCUCGUAAGUCAGACGUGAAAUCCCUCGGCUCAACCGAGGAACUGCGUCUGAUACUGCGAAACUAGAGUGUCGGAGGGGAUGGUGGAAUUCCCGGUGUAGAGGUGAAAUUCGUAGAUAUCGGGAGGAACACCCGUGGCGAAGGCGACCAUCUGGAAGACAACUGACGCUGAGACGCGAAAGCGUGGGGAUCAAACAGG
rnacentral:rRNA from 1 species